rnacentral:misc_RNA from 2 species
UAGUGUUCGCUGCCCUCGCGGGUAGCAAGCCUCACCCGUGUAUAUUAUAUCUUUGUUGCUUUGGCAUGCCGCCUUCGGGCACUGGCUUCGGCUGGCUCGUGUGUGUCAGAGGCCUUAAAACUCUGAAUGUUAGUGUCGUCUGAGUACUAUUUAAUAGUUA